rnacentral:misc_RNA from 1 species
GUGGUGUCAAUCCAGUUACAACUGCCAGGGUGCCAGUUCUAAAAGUUGUUGACCGAGGAACUGACAUUGAAUGUGAUAUAUCAGUUGAAAACCAGGAUGGGAUUUCAAAAUCAAAGACAAUUUACAUGAUUGGUUCCAUUGAUGAACGUUUUCGGAAAUUGAGCUUCUUGAUGAAAGCAUGGGCAAAAGCACAAAAUAUUAACAGCGCAAAGGAUCAAACAUUGAAUUCUUUAUCUAUAAUACUCUUGGUUGCUUUCCAUUUGCAGACGCGAAAUCCUCCCAUACUGCCUCCAUUUUCCGCCUUAUUCAAAGAUGGUAAUGACUCAGUAGCAGUGGAGAG